rnacentral:rRNA from 1 species
GACGAACGCUGGCGGCGUGCUUAACACAUGCAAGUCGAACGAUGAACCAGGAGCUUGCUCUUGGGGAUUAGUGGCGAACGGGUGAGUAACACGUGAGUAACCUGCCCUUGACUCUGGGAUAAGCGCUGGAAACGGCGUCUAAUACCGGAUAUGACCUUUGACCGCAUGGUCGAAGGUGGAAAGUUUUUCGGUCAAGGAUGGACUCGCGGCCUAUCAGUUUGUUGGUGAGGUAACGGCUCACCAAGACUACGACGGGUAGCCGGCCUGAGAGGGUGACCGGCCACACUGGGGCUGAGACACGGCCCAGACUCCUACGGGAGGCAGCAGUGGGGAAUAUUGCACAAUGGGCGCAAGCCUGAUGCAGCAACGCCGCGUGAGGGAUGACGGCCUUCGGGUUGUAAACCUCUUUUAGCAGGGAAGAAGUGGAAACAUGACGGUACCUGCAGAAAAAGCACCAGCUAACUACGUGCCAGCAGCCGCCGUAA